GGUCCUUUGCCAACCAUUCAUCCAUCCAAACCAUCUGUCCCAAGUGUCGAUGACUCCUGAAUUUUUCUUUAGCUCAUCUGCAAGACUAUCUAGCUUCUCUAUGGCCAUAGUCACCUUACCAUUGGGCCCAGUGUUGUCUGGAAUGUAUGUACAGCAUGUCAUGGUCUCAGGGAGGAUUUUACAUACACCCCCCUUCUCAGCUAAAAUCAUAUCUAGGGCCAUUCUGUUCUGAAAUGUCAUUUGGGUGGUGGCUUGUAAUUGUUCUGCCAGGCCCUGUAGGGCAUCCCUAGUGUAGUUGACGAAACGCUGUUGAUUAUAGUAAAUGUAGUUAAUCCAAUUGACAUUUUUGUUAGCAGUUAU